AUAACCUGCCUCAAGGCUGGGGAUAACAUUUGGAAACAGAUGCUAAUACCGAAUAAAACUUAGUAUCGCAUGAUAUCAAGUUAAAAGGCGCUACGGCGUCACCUAGAGAUGGAUCCGCGGUGCAUUAGUUAGUUGGUGGGGUAAAGGCUUACCAAGACGAUGAUGCAUAGCCGAGUUGAGAGACUGAUCGGCCACAUUGGGACUGAGACACGGCCCAAACUCCUACGGGAGGCUGCAGUAGGGAAUCUUCCACAAUGGGCGCAAGCCUGAUGGAGCAACGCCGCGUGUGUGAUGAAGGCUUUCGGGUCGUAAAGCACUGUUGUAUGGGAAGAAAUGCUAAAAUAGGGAAUGAUUUUAGUUUGACGGUACCAUACCAGAAAGGGACGGCUAAAUACGUGCCAGCAGCCGCGGUAAUACGUAUGUCCCGAGCGUUAUCCGGAUUUAUUGGGCGUAAAGCGAGCGCAGACGGUUGAUUAAGUCUGAUGUGAAAGCCCGGAGCUCAACUCCGGAAUGGCAUUGGAAACUGGUUAACUUGAGUGUUGUAGAGGUAAGUGGAACUCCAUGUGUAGCGGUGGAAUGCGUAGAUAUAUGGAAGAACACCAGUGGCGAAGGCGGCUUACUGGACAACAACUGACGUUGAGGCUCGAAAGUGUGGGUAGCAAACAGGAUUAGAUACCCUGGUAGUCCACACCGUAAACGAUGAAUACUAGGUGUUAGGAGGUUUCCGCCUCUUAGUGCCGAAGCUAACGCAUUAAGUAUUCCGCCUGGGGAGUACGACCGCAAGGUUGAAACUCAAAGGAAUUGACGGGGACCCGCACAAGCGGUGGAGCAUGUGGUUUAAUUCGAAGCAACGCGAAGAACCUUACCAGGUCUUGACAUCCUUUGAAGCUUUUAGAGAUAGAAGUGUUCUCUUCGGAGACAAAGUGACAGGUGGUGCAUGGUCGUCGUCAGCUCGUGUCGUGAGAUGUUGGGUUAAGUCCCGCAACGAGCGCAACCCUUAUUGUUAGUUGCCAGCAUUCAGUUGGGGCACUCUAACCAAGACUGGCCGGUGACAAACCGGAGGAAGGCGGGGACGACGUCAGAUCAUCAUGCCCCUUAUGACCUGGGCUACACACGUGCUACAAUGGCGUAUACAACGAGUUGCCAACCUGCGAAGGUGAGCUAAUCUCUUAAAGUACGUCUCAGUUCGGACUGCAGUCUGCAACUCGACUGCACGAAGUCGGAAUCGCUAGUAAUCGCGGAUCAGCACGCCGCGGUGAAUACGUUCCCGGGUCUUGUACACACCGCCCGUCACACCAUGGGAGUUUGUAAUGCCCA
rnacentral:rRNA from 1 species